UGCCAGCCGCCGCGGUAAUACGAAGGGGGCUAGCGUUGUUCGGAAUCAUUGGGUUUAAAGGGUCCGUAGGCGGGAAUCUAAGUCAGUGGUGAAAUCUUGCAGCUCAACUGUAAAAUUGCCAUUGAUACUGGAUUUCUUGAAUUAGUGUGAAGUGGUUAGAAUGUGUAGUGUAGCGGUGAAAUGCAUAGAUAUUACACAGAAUACCGAUUGCGAAGGCAGAUUACUAACAAUAUACUGACGCUGAGGGACGAAAGCGUGGGUAGCGAACAGGAUUAGAUA
rnacentral:rRNA from 1 species